rnacentral:lncRNA from 1 species
GAAUCUACUAUCAAUGGACUAUGUUGAAAAUUAUUACAACCUGGUCGCCUCUAAUUAAAAACGGAAUAGAUCUGGUGGGUCGAUAUAAAACCCAGGCGAAUCGUUCUUCUAUUUUAAAACAUAUAUAAUAUAUAUAUUUAAUAAAAAAAAUAUCAAAUGAGAUUGACCCUUUAUGAUGUUAUAUUCAACCAUGACCACCUGAUAUGAUGAGUCACCACUGAAGAUAUUUUGACAUUUAAAAGAAGUAAUAUCAUGACGAAAGCUCUCGAUGUUGUCUAUACGGAUAUAUAAUUUUUUGAUUAGUGAAUCAAGCCAGGGGUUCAAUGAGCCCGACCCACCCUGUUCCGCGUCACGGGGCAGGAUCGCCUCCCAUUCUCAUCCUACUGAGGUGUAGAAAAUGACGUGGUGGAGAGAAAAAAUAAUUUAAAUGUCCAAUAUUGAGAAAUACCAAAUGUUCUAAAAAUCG